ACCUGUGUCAGUGUCCACAGUGUUUGAAUAGUCUGGUUUUAAUAGAAACAUGAAAACGCCAUAUGGAGCCAGACAACCAUUUCCUUCCUUCAGUGUGUUUGACUUGAAGAAACAGUAGCCUGGAUUGGUCCUUGAUAUGCAAUUACUUCAUGAAGCACUGUACACAGGACUACAGCACCAUUAGCCAAGCCUCCCAGCCAGGCAAAUGUGUGCCAAGGAAGGAAUUGCAUCUUUUCAUUGGGAUAGUAACAGUCUGAAGGCAUUAUAGGACACAGCGUUGAGUACCACCAGACAUGGA